rnacentral:rRNA from 1 species
UACAGAGGUCCCGAGCGUUGUUCGGAUUCAUUGGGCGUAAAGGGUGCGUAGGUGGCGCUGUAAGUGGGGUGUGAAAUCCCGGGGCUUAACUCCGGAACUGCAUUCCAUACUGCGGUGCUUGAGGACUGGAGAGGAGACUGGAAUUUACGGUGUAGCGGUGAAAUGCGUAGAUAUCGUAAGGAAGACCAGUGGCGAAGGCGGGUCUCUGGACAGUUCCUGACGCUGAGGCACGAAGGCCAGGGGAGCAAACGGG